GGCGUGCUUAACACAUGCAAGUCGAACGAUGAAGCCUAGCUUGCUAGGUGGAUUAGUGGCGCACGGGUGAGUAAUAUAUAGAUAACGUGCCUCUUAGUCUGGGAUAGCCAUUGGAAACGAUGAUUAAUACUAGAUACUCCUUCUCCUUCUAAUUGGAGUUGGGAAAGUUUUUCGCUAAGAGAUCGGUCUAUAUCCCAUCAGGUAGUUGGUAGUGUAAGAGACUACCAAGCCUAUGACGGGUAGCGGGUUUGAGAGGAUGAUCCGCCACACUGGUACUGAGACACGGACCAGACUCCUACGGGAGGCAGCAGUGAGGAAUAUUGCACAAUGGAGGAAACUCUGAUGCAGCAACGCCGCGUGGAGGAUGACGCAUUUCGGUGUGUAAACUCCUUUUAUAGGUCAAGAAAAUGACGGUAGCCUAUGAAUAAGCACCGGCUAACUCCGUGCCAGCAGCCGCGGUAAUACGGAGGGUGCAAGCGUUAUUCGGAAUCACUGGGCGUAAAGGACACGUAGGCGGGAAGCCAAGUCUGAUGUGAAAUCCUAUGGCUCAACCAUAGAACUGCAUUGGAAACUGGUUACCUAGAGUAUGGGAGGGGGAGAUGGAAUUAGUGGUGUAGGGGUAAAAUCCGUAGAUAUCACUAGGAAUACCUAAAGCGAAGGCGAUCUCCUGGAACAUUACUGACGCUAAGGUGUGAAAGCGUGGGGAGCAAACGGGAUUAGAUACCCCGGUAGUCCACGCCCUAAACGAUGUUCACUAGUCGUCGGGAUGCUAGUCAUCUCGGUGAUGCACUUAACAGAUUAAGUGAACCGCCUGGGGA
rnacentral:rRNA from 1 species